GCUGGGUGUGGUGGUGCACGCCUGUAAUCCCAGCUACUCAGGAGGCUGAGGCUGGAGAAUCACUUGAACCCAGGAGGUGGAGGUUGCAGUGAGCUGAGAUGGCUCCACUGCACUCCAGCCUGGGCAACAAAUUGAGACUCUGUCUCAA
ensembl:misc_RNA Metazoa_SRP Metazoan signal recognition particle RNA